AUACGUAGGGGGCAAGCGUUAUCCGGAUUUACUGGGUGUAAAGGGAGCGUAGACGGCAAAGCAAGUCUGAAGUGAAAGCCCCGGGCUCGACCCGGGAAUUGCUUUGGAAACUGGCAGACUUGAGUGCAGUAGAGGCAAGUGGAAUUUCUAGUGUAGCGGUUAAAUGCGUAGAUAUUAGAAGGAACACCAGUGGCGAAGGCGGCUUGCUGGGCUGUUACUGACGCUGAGACACGAAAGCGUGGGGAGCAAAUAGGAUUAGAUACCCUAGUAGUCCACGCCGUAAACGAUGAGUACUAAGUGUCGGGUAACCGGUGCUGAAGUUAACACAUUAAGUACUCCGCCUGAGUAGUACGGUCGCAAGGCUGAAACUCAAAUGAAUUGGCGGGG
rnacentral:rRNA from 1 species